GAUGAACGCUAGCUACAGGCUUAACACAUGCAAGUCGAGGGGUAGCAGGGUAGCAAUACCGCUGACGACCGGCGCACGGGUGAGUAACACGUAUCCAACCUUCCCAUAACACGGGGAUAGCCUUUCGAAAGAAAGAUUAAUACCCGAUAGUACUUUAUUAAGGCAUCUUAAGAAAGUUAAAGAUUUAUUGGUUAUGGAUGGGGAUGCGUUCCAUUAGAUAGUUGGUGAGGUAACGGCUCACCAAGUCUUCGAUGGAUAGGGGUUCUGAGAGGAACGCCCCCCACAAUGGUACUGUGACACGGACCAAACUCCUACGGGAGGCAGCAAUGAGGAAUAUUGGUCAAUGGGCGAGAGCCUGAACCAGCCAAGUAGCGUGAAGGAUGAAGGUCCUAUGGAUUGUAAACUUCUUUUAUAGUAGAAUAAAGUGAACCACGUGUGGUUUUUUGUAUGUAUACUAUGAAUAAGGAUCGGCUAACUCCGUGCCAGCCGCCGCCGUAA
rnacentral:rRNA from 1 species